GUAACUGCUAUCUUGACAGAAGGCUAAUCACAGUGAAUGUUUACAGGACAUGGUUUAACCAGCAGUGGAGAGAGUCAUGAAGGAGAACCACCAAAUAACACCGAUAAUGAAGGGUGUCUCUGGGUGGAGUUGGCCUUAUUGGCACAUCUGGCAUGGGAAGCUCUUCACAUCUUGAUGGCAUCUUUAUUGAUUGAUUGAAGGUUCAUACCUUCAUCAGAGCUGCUGAGACACACUGGUCGUCUUUUCCUUUUGGGGGAGUCAUCACAGCUCUCAAGUGAAGAUUGCACAGCUGCUUUUUUCGACCACUUUUUAGCUCUUUCAUAGUCAUCUGAAGCAAAAAUAUGGUGAGUACAAUUUGGCAUUUCUUUACUGUUGUUGCAGUAAUUUUCUUUUUUUGAA